AGCCCUUGGGUAUGUUUUAGUCUAGGUUGUGGCUAAGGUCUGUGGACAGGUUCAAAAAGUAAAUCCUCUUUUGCAACCCAGAACUUAAUAUUCAGUGCACGUUUUGAUACAUAUAAAGAGGAAUACU
ensembl:snoRNA